rnacentral:lncRNA from 1 species
GGAGGGAGAAUCAGGGGAAAGAGAGAGAAACUGAGGGAGAGAUAAAGGUGAGAAUCAAAGGAGAGGUAGAGGUCGCGUUUGGUCACUGCUCCGACGACUGUGUCAUCGGAAAACAUCAAACCAUACUGGGAAAACGUGAAAUUGAAGGGUAAAAUCGAUCGGAGCAUAAAGUUUUGUAAUCGGUUUAAAGGAAGAUGACAGCAAGG